rnacentral:rRNA from 1 species
UACGUAGGCAGCGAGCGUUGUUCGGAGUUACUGGGCGUAAAGAGUGCGUAGGCGGUUUUCUAAGUUUGGUGUGAAAUCUCCCCGGCUUAACUGGGAGGGUGCGCCGAAGACUGGAAGGCUUGAGUAUGGGAGAGGUAAGCGGAAUUCCUGGUGUAGCGGUGAAAUGCGUAGAUAUCAGGAGGAACACCUGCGGUGUAGACGGCUUACUGGACCAUCACUGACGCUGAGGCACGAAAGCGUGGGUAGCAAACAGG